GACGCUGGCGGCAGGCCUAACACAUGCAAGUCGAGCGGUAGAGAGAAGCUUGCUUCUCUUGAGAGCGGCGGACGGGUGAGUAAUGCCUAGGAAUCUGCCUGGUAGUGGGGGAUAACGUUCGGAAACGGACGCUAAUACCGCAUACGUCCUACGGGAGAAAGCAGGGGACCUUCGGGCCUUGCGCUAUCAGAUGAGCCUAGGUCGGAUUAGCUAGUUGGUGAGGUAAUGGCUCACCAAGGCGACGAUCCGUAACUGGUCUGAGAGGAUGAUCAGUCACACUGGAACUGAGACACGGUCCAGACUCCUACGGGAGGCAGCAGUGGGGAAUAUUGGACAAUGGGCGAAAGCCUGAUCCAGCCAUGCCGCGUGUGUGAAGAAGGUCUUCGGAUUGUAAAGCACUUUAAGUUGGGAGGAAGGGUUGUAGAUUAAUACUUUGCAAUUUUGACGUUACCGACAGAAUAAGCACCGGCUAACUCUGUGCCAGCAGCCGCGGUAAUACAGAGGGUGCAAGCGUUAAUCGGAAUUACUGGGCGUAAAGCGCGCGUAGGUGGUUUGUUAAGUUGGAUGUGAAAUCCCCGGGCUCAACCUGGGAACUGCAUUCAAAACUGACUGACUAGAGUAUGGUAGAGGGUGGUGGAAUUUCCUGUGUAGCGGUGAAAUGCGUAGAUAUAGGAAGGAACACCAGUGGCGAAGGCGACCACCUGGACUAAUACUGACACUGAGGUGCGAAAGCGUGGGGAGCAAACAGGAUUAGAUACCCUGGUAGUCCACGCCGUAAACGAUGUCAACUAGCCGUUGGAAGCCUUGAGCUUUUAGUGGCGCAGCUAACGCAUUAAGUUGACCGCCUGGGGAGUACGGCCGCAAGGUUAAAACUCAAAUGAAUUGACGG
rnacentral:rRNA from 3 species